rnacentral:rRNA from 1 species
CCGUAACUAUAACGGUCCUAAGGUAGCGAAAUUCCUUGUCGGGUAAGUUCCGACCCGCACGAAAGGCGUAACGAUUUGGGCACUGUCUCAACGAGAGACUCGGUGAAAUCAUAGUACCUGUGAAGAUGCAGGUUACCCGCGACAGGACGGAAAGACCCCGUGGAGCUUUACUGUAGCCUGAUAUUGAAAUUCGGCACAGCUUGUACAGGAUAGGUAGGAGCCUUUGAAACGUGAGCGCUAGCUUACGUGGAGGCGCUGGUGGGAUACUACCCUAGCUGUGUUGGCUUUCUAACCCGCACCACUUAUCGUGGUGGGAGACAGUGUCAGGCGGGCAGUUUGACUGGGGCGGUCGCCUCCUAAAAGGUAACGGAGGCGCUCAAAGGUUCCCUCAGAAUGGUUGGAAAUCAUUCAUAGAGUGUAAAGGCAUAAGGGAGCUUGACUGCGAGACCUACAAGUCGAGCAGGGUCGAAAGACGGACUUAGUGAUCCGGUGGUUCCGCAUGGAAGGGCCAUCGCUCAACGGAUAAAAGCUACCCCGGGGAUAACAGGCUUAUCUCCCCCAAGAGUUCACAUCGACGGGGAGGUUUGGCACCUCGAUGUCGGCUCAUCGCAUCCUGGGGCUGUAGUCGGUCCCAAGGGUUGGGCUGUUCGCCCAUUAAAGCGGUACGCGAGCUGGGUUCAGAACGUCGUGAGACAGUUCGGUCCCUAUCCGUCGUGGGCGUAGGAAAUUUGAGAGGAGCUGUCCUUAGUACGAGAGGACCGGGAUGGACAUACCUCUGGUGUACCAGUUGUCGUGCCAACGGCAUAGCUGGGUAGCUAUGUGUGGACGGGAUAAGUGCUGAAAGCAUCUAAGCAUGAAGCCCCCCUCAAGAUGAGAUUUCCCAACUUCGGUUAUAAGAUCCCUCAAAGAUGAUGAGGUUAAUAGGUUCGAGGUGGAAGCAUGGUGACAUGUGGAGCUGACGAAUACUAAUCGAUCGAAGACUUAAUCAA